AAGUGAACUUUCCAAUUCAUUAAAUCCUAGGUGUAAACAGAAGCAAGAGGAAAAGUUAGUGAAAAUGAAACUGCUGAUCUUCUUCCAGUUUUGCCAUCAAGAUGUCCCCAGGGAGUCAUUUUCUGGAAUGAAGGAUAAAAAAUUGAGAGAAAAAUAAUCAGCAAAACUAACCAAUACAUUGAACUUGGACAGCUCACUUUAUAAAAUUGCUGAACUCUACAAUUAUACAGUGGCAAGAAUCAAGACAGGGUGAAUUCAGCAUGCAGUGCAGGUGUCUUCAGGUCUAGUAGUGCCAAGUUUGUUACUUUCAUCACUGACAUACCAUUUCAUUGUCAAUUAAUUUUUGUUGCUGUAUUGAAGAGCAGAGUAAGUGGGACUUUAUGUUGGUGUUAUUUAUUAACAAUGCUUUCCAUGACUCAGAGGGU
rnacentral:lncRNA from 1 species